UUUUAAUAGAUGACGCCGUUGACUUUUUCUCACAUGUUUGACCAUUUGUCUUAUUCAAAAAUUUUAAGACGAAUGGUCAAACAUGUGAGAAAAAGUCAACGGCGUCAUCUAUUAAAA
rnacentral:pre_miRNA from 1 species